rnacentral:lncRNA from 1 species
AACAGACCCAAGCCAAGCCCAGCUGAGUUCAGCCAACCUGUGGACCCAAGAGUAAAAAGAAAGAUAUGUCUGCUGUAAGCCACUGAGAUCUGGGGAUUAUUUGUUACAUAGCCAUGUCACAGCCACGCCUGACUAAUGAGUGUUCAUGAUUUUCUUUACAUGGAACCGCUCUAAUACUUGGAUCUGAGAUGCUCACUCUGAUGCAUAUCACUGAAGAAUUGAGGUCUAAGAAGCAGUCUUUUCCCCUUCAGACUUCUUUCCAUGGCCUCUUCCCAGAAUGUGCAUCUCCUACAUUUUCAGGACAGUUAAUCGCAUUGAAAAAUUCUGUCCAACAAGCCACUCUACAGACUCUCAGCCCUGCCAGUGCCUGACAAGGGCUAUUCUUGUUGUGGGAGGACCUCAGCUUUAUGGGGAGGAUGAUGGGGCUGAAGCUCGGAGAGACAGAGGGACCUAUGAAGCUGCAGCAGCAGGAGCAGAAAGCACAGCUGUGGGGCCUUCUGGAAAGAACAGAGAAGAGGAGCGGCCCUAUGCUGGCGCCGCACGAGGACAUCGUAAACCUGAACCAGGAUGUUCUUUGUGAUGACAGGGUAAUGCGGAGGUGGACGGAGUUGUUGGUAUGAGGGAUCAAGCUGUUCUAUUCAGGAGGGAAUGAAGAGUGAUGAGAAGAGAUGCUGCUCAAGCUGCUCAGAGCCUAGAGGGGAGACCUGAGACCUUAAAGAAGCAGACAGAAGGAGGAAGGGAGGAUCACGGGCCUUUCGUCGGUUCUACACGGUGUCACUUUACGGCAGAUUUCACGUGGGUGGCAGAGCUGAGCCUUUGCCGCGUGUUCCAGCUCCCAACUCCAUCCCUUUCUGGAUUCCCUGCUGGACACGUUCUUUCCUCUGGGACUAGCACACUUGGAUUUGGCUCAGUUCCUUCUGGAAGCCGAAGAUGAGCAGGAAGGAAGGAUCACGGGCCUUUCGUCGGUUCUACACGAUGUCACUUUACGGCAGAUUUCACGUGGGUGGCAGAGCUGAGCCUUUGCCGCGUGUUCCAGCUCCCAACUCCAUCCCUUUCUGGAUUCCCUGCUGGACACGUUCUUUCCUCUGGGACUAGCACACUUGGAUUUGUCUCAGUUCCUUCUGGAAGCUGAAGAUGAGCAGGUAAGUUCCCUUUCCACUUCUGGGCAUUUACCUGGUCCUGGAUAGUUGUGACCCAGUGCUCAGUCUGGCAUUUUUGGUUUGCCUGCUCAGGUUUCUUUUUGUGUUUGAUGUUGAGAUUUUGAAGUUUGCCUUUUCUGUGCCGGUGAGUCUAGUGUCCUGGGUCUGGCAUUCCCGAGCCUAACUUCAAAUACACAGGCUACCUUCUUCUCCUGCUUCUUUUCCAAGCAUGGCUUAUUAAUUCAGCUGAACAAUGUUGUUGCUAUUUCUAUUGACUGUAAGGUGAUGUGAGAGGCGGGGCUAUGGUGAUAAGGGGGUGGAGCCAUGGUGAUGAGGGAGAUGGAAAAGUCAAGAGAUUGAAAAGUCAAGAGUUGAGUCUCAUCCUUGCUCUUACGUCUCCUGAAAUUCUGGAUCAAGACCCUCAGAGUGUAGUAGUAACCAGCCUGAAAGUGCCUGUUACUCUUUUGAAAACCAUUGCUAGGAAGUAAGUAAACAGGAGUUUGUUAAAUUAUUUUCUGUUUUUGUUUUUUUUUGGUAUGUUUGAAAUAUUUCAUAUGUAAAAAUAAAAUAAUUCAAUUUAAUGCAUAAUAUUCUGACCUCCGUGCAUCCUGGGAAGAGGGUCAAUAGAGAUGAGGGAGGGGAAGUUAAGGAAGGAAGACAAUUCUCUUUCUCUUGAUUUGUUUUGGGCACAACUUUGAAACAGGGUAGCUAUGUCCCUGGCUUUUUCAUGCUUUCCCUUCUGCAACCUCACCUGCCUCUCACUUCAUCCAGGGUGACAGUCCCAUUCCAGGCAGCCCUUGAACACUGUACUUUCCAAAUGUUCUCUGCCUUCAAAAUUGGGGUGUGGCUAGAAGUGUUUAGAAAGUGCUUCAAUUAUCUAUUGAUGCUCAAUAAAUUGUCUUGAAAUGUGGUGUCUUAAAACAGCUAUUUUAUUUGGUCACACCCUAUGGGUCAGGGAAGUAGGAUAGGGCAUAUGGGGAUAGAUGGUUGACAGUCUGUGUGUGAUCCAUGAUGUCUGGUCAGGAAAAGUUUAACAUUGAACAUAGUGAUUAGGAAUGUGGGGAUAUGGGAUCAGAUUGCUGGGGCCCAAAUCCUAGUUUUUCCAUGUAUUAGCUGAUGAAAUAAUGAUAAUCAUAGCCACUAACCUCAUAUGAGUAUUGUCUUCAAGUUGACUUUCAGGUGCAUUCUAGUAUUUAGUCUAGAUUGCCCAACUCUGCUGAUAAUGGUGGUAUUGUUAUAUUAUCAUUGCCAUUUACACUUAACCUUGAAAACUCAGCCUAGGCAUAUACAGGCAAGUUCUGGGGUUAGGCUGUUAAGGUCUCACAUGGGAAGGAUAAGCAUUUUGUCCUGUAGACAAAGAGGAAUUUCCAGCUGGGGAAUGACAGGAUCAAGCCCCUUCUCCCUCCCUUGUUCCUGCUCCCUCUGCCCUUUCUUCCUCAUUUCCUCUUCUCUCCCCACUUUAAAACGAUGACAGUAUGUUCAAGUUGUGCAAAUCAAAGGAAUAGAUUAGAAACAGGAGAAUAAAUGUGCUUAGCAGACCCAGGAAAUCUCCAGGGGAUUGGAAUUGAUUACCCAGCAUGUAAUAUACAAAACCAUCAUUUUUCUGCAUGUGGUGAACAAUGGUGAACAAUGGAAGUGAAGUAACUCCCCACUCCAGUCCCCCUAAUCUGAUGGAAUUUUCUCAGUAAUGUUGUGGAGUCAUAGGGGUGAGCAUGCACCAACUGGGCCAAUUCCCACUGGCCUUUAUUUUCUGGAAGGGUUGGCAGCAGAGGAAGACCAGAACCUUUUCCAGUGCACAUACCUACUUUAAUAUGGAGAGGAUUCUGCCUGUCCUGGGAGAUGCUGCGACCUUGGGAAGUUGUGUGGAUGAAAAGAUACAUGCUUUAUAUCAGACUUAAAAAAUAUAUCCUGUUAUCUUUCACCAUGUAAGGAAGGACUUCUUUACAUGGGAUCUGUGUGAACCCCAUAUGGUCCCAUUGUCAUCUGGGGUGGUCCUGGUAUUGGACUUCACUGGAUCCAACAGGGCCAAAUUUACUUCAGUAAUUGGAAAAUCUUGACUGUAUGAUGGGUGCAGGUUAGAGAAUGUUAGGCAGUCAUAAGCUUCAGAGUUUGUUUUGUAGUUCCUUUUAGUUUCAGUUGAGAUUGGCCAUAAGAACUUCGCUUUUCAUGGGUUCAAGUAACCAUGGGGCUGAAUUUCACUUAGUACUCAUCUUUUUUUUUGAUUCUGAAGGUUGGAUUUAUUUGAAUAAAGGGACAAGGGUAACAUGAGCUGCCAACCUAUAUGACGUUUUUGCAUGUAGUAGAAAAAAGCACUCUUUUAUGGCAUAUGUAGCACAUCAAAGUCAUGACUUAGGAGCAAGCAUGGCUAUAUUUUAGCCCCCUAGUUAUCUCCUGAAGGGAGAGUCUAUGCAAUGCCCAACUCACACGUCCAAAUGUGGCAGCCUUGUGUGAAGGGAAAGUAUAUAAUAAUAGGCUGACUUAGUAAUUCAGAAGUGUGCCUGAGUUUGGGACAUCCUUUCUGAUUCAGUAGGUUUUGAUUAGUGGCUUAGAGUUUCUGAUUUAGUAGGUCUGAGGUAGGGCCCAAGAAUUUGGAUUUCUAGUAGGUUCCUAAGUGAUGCCAGUAACCCUGGCCUGGGAGUUACAUUUCGAGCACCACUUCUGUGGGGUGUAAUUCCAUGACCCAGAUUUCCUCACUUCCAGGUGCUAGUUACCUGAUUUGCUCAUCAAACUCAAAUAUGCUUCUUUAUACAGUGGUGUAGGUUGGUCCCAAAUAUAUGGCUUCACUGGAACUUUCUGGAAGAGGAUUCUUCUAGCUGUUUUCCUAGCACUUCCCUGUACUCUAGAAGGCCAUUGAUAAAUUUGGGUCUGUGGCACCUCAACCAGCUCAGCCAUCAGCAUCAGAGUAGAGUUGAACCAGUUCUCCUUUUCUAGACCCUUUGUAUCCUUCAUAAUUCUCUCCUGGAGUAUUGCUUCUUGGACUCAAAUGUCGCGUGCUUGAUUUUAGUCUAGAGAUUUAUUUUUAUAUAGUCUGGAGAAAACAGUGCUAUUUUUUGUCAUCUAAGUGCAAAAAACAAAACAAAACUUAGUGUACUAGGAAAUUAUGCAGAGACAGUUUAAUACUUGGACAACUUAAAACACGUGUGCGCAUGCACAGGGGCUUUCUCAGAGACAUCACUGAGUGAAUAAUAGGCUGCCUGGGCCCUUACAGCAGAGCCAAUGAAAUUUAGUUUUGCUCGAGUUUGGUUAUUGGUGUUAUGAUGCUCCCUCUGGGCCAUCAAGGAGUGAAACUGGAGCGCUCAUUUUUGGAGCUGUUGAAGUUUCAAGCUCCUUUGAGGUAUUGGCAGUGGGCUUGGCAUGCUUUCAGAUGUGGAUGGCUUUCCCACUAAUACCUCGCAGGCCCAUGGGACAUUUUUUUAAAAGUUUGAGCACCAAGUCAACCCAUCUCCUUAGUGGCAGUAGUUGCUUUAUCUGUGAGAAUAACUGUCCUUCUUAGCUUCUCAAUUUGUCACCUGUGCAGUGAUUUAUUACCUUCCAAAGCUGCAGUAAUUAUAUAAUGAUGCAAAAAUAAUGACAAGCCAUUCUGAUAAACUUUAUUACCUGUAGCAUCUUGUAUUCAAACUGCAUUCUAGCACACUCUGUAGGAUUACCAAGCACCCCUACAUGUGUGACAGCCAGCAGGGAGGGCGGCUUCUCAGGUCUGAGAGGAAAAGAGGAAAAGAAACAGGAUUCAAGCUUCCUGAACAGAGGCUGGGAAGAAUUGGGCUGGGGUGAGUUGAUUCCCAUUUGGGGCACAGGCCAAAUGGACUUAUCUCCAUUUUUAUCCCAACAAUUCAGUAUUCACUUGCCUAUUUUAAAUUGGGGCUAUAGAAUUGGCUCUUUAAACAAUCUUCAAUGAAAUAUAUAGUCAAAAGAAUGUAUAUAAAUGAUGUGCAGUUGAACUCUUAUUUUUAUCUUGAACCCGCACCUUUAGAGCCUCUCCUUUUUAUCAGAUGACAAAGUUUCCCCUGGAGCUGUGUUGCGAGGCACUGUCCAGUGUUCUAGUCUUGAGAGUGAAGGACUCAAGAAGGCUGACGUACAAAGUAACUUUCAGAUUUGCUUCUCAUUUUGGAAAAAUAUCUGAACUUAAAAUAUCUUUCAUGGGGAAUUGAGAACUGAGAUACAAAAUCAUAAUGUGGCUGGUAAGAGAGUUCUUUUAGUAAAUGCAGCUUGCCUAAUUUGGGUCUGUGGUUGGAGGGUCAGGUCUUCAAUUAUUUUCCUGAACCGAGGAGUAAUGCAGUCCCUAUAGCUGACUGUGGAGGCCAGGAUAAUGGAUAGGGGUCCUGUGCUGUCUUCCAUCUCCUUCCUGAUGACCAGCCAGUGACCUCAGGCAAUGCUUGUUUCUUUUAUGAUGGAUUCUCCUGGGAUUGUACCAGGGGGCUUAGGCCAGGCCUGUGUCCAGAGUUGGGCGGAGGUGCUUAAAAAUGAGGAAAAGUCAUGAUUAUAUCAGAGUACAGAUGAUUCCAGUACUACCAGUGCCCACAUUUCUCAUCUUGACAGGCUCUUAGUUGGAUUACAUUUCCUAGCCUCUUUUAUAGUUAGAUGGGAACAUGUGACCUAUUCUGACCAAUAGAAUGUAGGUAUUUCCAGGACCGGCCAUAAAUCUCCCAAGCGUGGCUCUCCCUUCUCUUUUUCUACCGCCUGACACCAGAGAAGGACUAUGUAAGACAGAAGAACUGUAGAUGGAAGUGGCCUUAGAAGUUGAGUUACUUCUUAAAGGAGAGACUCCUAGGAGUCCACAGAACUGUAAUGUGAAAGAGAAAUCUUUUUUUGUGUUAAAACAUUGAAGUUCCAGGGUCAACUUGUUAGUCUAGCAUAAUUUACCCUGUUCUGACUUCUUGGCUCUGAGAAUCUGUCUUUCUAGGGUCACAUCUGCUAGGGGUUGAAUUGGAGCUGUAGCUGCCAGGCCACAGCAACGCUGGGUCCCUAACCCACUGAGAAAGGCCACGGAUUUAACCCACAUCCUCAUGGAUACUAGUGGCGUUCAUUAUGGCCUAGGUCUUUCUGAUUGGCCAAGGCUGUGCUUUCUUCUUCUGAGUUCUCAAAAUUGGGAAGUAUCUCAGCAUGAGAAUGGUGAUUUGAACCCUGGAGAGUCCAGAUCUGUAGAUGCUGUCAGGGAGGUGGUGGUUUCAAGGCAAGGGCUAGGCAGGGCUUCUCAGUCUUGGCACUAUUGACAGUGGGGCCGGAUGGUUCUUAGUGGUGGGGACAGACUGGACAUUGUGAGAUGCUUAGCAGCAUCCCUGCUAGAUACCAAUAGUGCUUUCCACCUCCCUACAAAUUAUGACCAUCAAAAUAUCUCAAGACGUUAUUAAAGGUCCCUGGGGGAAGGGGGAAAAUCACCCUUAGUUGAGAACCACUGGUCUAGACAAAGGCAAAUCCCCAGCUUUAGACCUCAGGAGCACGAGUUUUCCUCUCUGCUUUUCCCUACUUCAUAUCAUGGAUUGAAGCAGUCUUUGCUUCCUCAUAAUACAUGAGGACCAGAGCUGGCGUUUUUUGCCAUUUGAGACUCUCCAGGAGUGGAGCACAUCAUCUCCACUGGCUUCCUUCCUUCCCUCAUAUUAGUAUCUGUAGCUGCAAAACAAAUUCCUUCAAAACUUAGUGGCUUAAAGCAACAAUAACUUACUAUAUUGCAGUUUCUGUGGGUCGGGAAUUUACGAAUAGCUUUGGUGGGUAGCUCUGGCCGAGGGUCUCACAUGUGGUUGCAGUCAAAAUGUUGGCGGCAGUCCAGUCCUCUGAAAGCUUGAUUGGGGAUGGAGAAAUUUGUUUCCAAAAUGGUCCCUCAGGUGGUUGUGGGCAGGAGACCUCAGUUCCUCACCAUGUAGGCUUCUGCAAAGUCUUCCUGGGCAUCCUUACAACGUGACAGCUGAUAAGAGCAAGUGGUUCAAUAGAAAGAGAAAAUGAGGAAGAAGCCUUGGGAUCUUUUAUGAUCUGAAGUCACACGCCACCACUUCUGCUUUUCUAUAGUCACUCAAAGCAAAUCACUAAGUUGGGCACCUGUUCCAGAGAAGGAGAAUUGGCCUCCACCUCUUGGAGGGAGGAGUGAAAAAGGAUGUGUGGACAUAUUUUGAAACUAUCACAUCCAGUACCAAGCUUUCUUUGCUUAGCUACACUGGGCUACUCUCCAACCCUUGACACAUGAGGUGUAUUCUUAGAUUUUGAACUCCCCCUACAGUACUUUUGCCCCAUCUUCCAGAUUUCCAAUUCUCACUGGACUGUAGCAUUACCCAGGAGUUACCUUUGGAAAAGAUCUGAUGAACUCAUUCAGGCAGGUU